CAUUCUGGACAUAGGGCUGCCCAGCCUAAGUUUGAAAACUUCUAGAGAGGGACUGCCCACCACUGCUCUGUUCUCAAUUCAAAGCUUCUUUGGAAAGUUUCCUCUUCUGUUCAUUAGCAGAUUCGGGGUGCACACAGUCCUUGAGGAUAGUAGGAAAAUUUACAGCAUCAGCUCCUUUCCCUGGACUUCUCAGGAUUGUCAUUAUUAAGGACUGCAGUCAUACAGCAGUCCAGGAUGAGCAGUCAUCUGCGGGGAAUAAUCAAGAUGUGUUGCCUAUGGUGGCGAGCUCUAAUUACCACACUGUGAGAUGGAACGUCAAUCUCCUUCUGCUUACUAAAGAAAAGAUGACUUCUGGAACUCUAAGAUCUCACUUGCUGUGCUCAUGAUUUGUAAGUUCCACUUCUAUGUAAGAUAUUAAACCA